UCCUGUAAAGAACUCUGGGAUACCUGAGGCUGCUUUCUCCAGGGGGCUCCAGAGGGACCCAGGCAGCAGAGGUCCUCCUUGCUUGCUUUCUCUCCCUUCUGUCUCAGAACCAAGAGAGGUGAGGGCUAGGCAAUGGGGGUCAAGUGACUUGCCCAGGGUCACCCAGCUUGAACCCAGGACCUCCCCUCUCUAAGUCUGGCUCUCUAGCCACUAAGUCGUCCAGCUGCCCCAAGCAGCUACUCCUUCUAAGAGGACAGCUUGCUCUCAGAACCAGUUCUGCCCACCCUCUACAACUGCCUGUGCCCCGGCCCCAGAAUUCCUAGCUAGAGCUCUGCAGUGCAGAGUCCUAUCCCCAGGGACAAUGAAGGUCCCUUCCCUGACCCAAUAGAACCAUCUCUAAGGGGAAGUCAAUUGAACCCCAACCUGUUUAGAAGAGGAUAUGGAACAGGGUCUGUCAUCCCAGGAUCUGAGUUCAAAUUCCCAUGAAGAAAAGGAGAGAUUUUCUAGUUCCUUUCCCUCAGUUUACACGUGAGGACUCUCUGGUCCAGGAAGGUUAAUUAUUGCUCUGAGGUGAGGCAGGAUUCAAACCCAGAUCCUUCUAGGAUCUCUCAGGAUCCUUCCAGCCUGAAGUCCUGGGAUCGCAAGGAGGGCAUAUAGAGGCAGGAAACAGCCUCUGUCAUCGGUCUGUUGACAUCCAGAUAUUUUAGAGAAAAAGAAUUUGCGUUCCUAAAAACAAAUCUGUUUGCUGUACAGACAAUUCCUCUAUAGACCCCUACACACAUAGAGCAGCCUGGGGAGCCCACCCGAGCUUGCAUGGGGCGGUGGGAGCAAGGGCAAAUAGAGAGGGAGUCCCUAACCUGUAGAGAAGUCCCACAGGCUGCAUGCGGCUGCUCUUUGUGGCCCCAUUUGGGGUUUUCUUGGCAGAGCUUCUGCGUGGUCUGCCAUUUCCUUCUCUAGCUCUUCUGAUAGAUGAGGAAACUGAGGCAAACAGGGGGAAGUGACUUGUCCAGGGUCACCCAGCUAGUGUCUGGAAUGGUUUGCCAUUUCCUUUUCUAGCUCAUUUGACAGAGGAGGAAACUGAGGCCAUCAGGGGAAGUGACUUGUCCAGGGUCACUCAGCUAGUGUCUGAGGUCAGAUUUGAAUUCAGGACUUCCCGACUCUAGGCCCUAGCACUCCGUCCAUGGUGCACCUCAUUGACUUAGAAAACCACAAAUGACCAUUCUCUAUGUUCUGUUGUAUUUUUAUUUUGGGAAACCCUUUGCCAGUUCCAUGUUAACUUCUCCCACCUGCAGCUCCCUCUGUGUAAGGACCUCCCAGGCAGAAAACUCCCUCCUCCUGCAUUGGUCUGCAGCUGCUCUUAGAGAGAACUUUCCCCAGAGAGAAGUGAAGUGACUAACCCAGGGUCACACAGCCGGUAUGUGGCAAAGGGAGGACUUGCACCCACUCCUGCUGAGUCUCAGGGUCACCUCGAGCUUUCAUGCCAGACUUCUGCUCAUAUGAACAAUUGAUCCCGGAUGGACUAGAAAUAAUAAAAUUCGAGGAAACCCCAAAGUGUGCUGUUCAUCUAGUCUGGUGGCGCGAAGCCUUUUCCCCCUCCAGACUGCUUUCUCUUUUUAGCUCUUCCCUUCUGUCUUAGAAUCAGCCCUGUGUAUUGGCUCUAAGGCAGAAGGGCAGUCAGGACCAGGCAAUGGGGGUGCAGUGACUUGACCAGGGUCACCCAGCUGGGAAGUGUCUGAGGCCAGAUUGGAACCCAGGACCUCCUGUCUCUGUGCCUGGCUCUCUGUCCACUGAGCCACCCAGCUGCCCCACUACUGACUUCCAUUAAGGAUAACAACAGCAUUUAUUUAGCAUUUUUAAAUGUGCAAAGUUCUCUAUAGGUUUAUGACUUGAUCCUUUCCAUAACCCCAAGAGGGAUGAGCUAUUAUUAUCAUCCCCAUUUUACAGAGGAGCAAACUGAGGCAGGCAGAGGUUCAGUGACUCACCCAGGGUCACACAGCUAGGGUAGUAGAUCUGAGGAUGGAUUUGAACCCUGACUCCAAGCUCAGCGAGCUACUGUCUGACCACUAACCAACUUUUAGACCUGGAAAGGGAUUAUUCUGGAGGACUCAAGAUUAAGUCGGGGGUCCCGUAGGCAGCUAGUGACCGAGCCAAGGCGGCAAGCCCGUUGUCCCGGGUGCCAGAGGAAGAAGGCGAGAUCCGCAGGAAGGAAGGACGUACCCAGGUCACCCGAUGAAGCCGAAUCUUCUGAGUCCAAAUCCAGCCGGCUGGCCAAGCGAGCCCGCCAUCACCGCCCCUGGAGGGGCCGAGAUUCAGCGCCCGAUGAAUUGGCUCACAAGGAGAGCAGAAGGUCCUGAGGCUGAGACCCUUCCUGUUGUCUGAUGUCCCUGCAACAGGGCCACGGAGGACCUCCAAGGACAGAAGGAGGCCAGGCUGACGUUGCGAGAAAGGAUGAGCUCCCUAGAACAAAGCCAUUCCUCCAUGUUUCCAUUUCAGGCAUUAGUGUCUCACCUCUCAUAAGGCCACCAGGCCAUCAUUGAAGCAUCAGGAAACUCCUACCAGUAGAUAUCUAUCUCUCCCUGGACAAUAAUCAGGGAGCGACCUUAGGAGGAUUAAGGUAGGACCUCCAUGACCCAGUUGCCCAUACAAGACACUUUCCUACCUGUUAAUUCUGAAGCUGACUGAGACCUCCUGUCAUUCAACUGGCUGCCUCUGGAUCCUGCAUGAAAUCAAACAGAACUAAUGAAGAGUAAACGUAAUAAAGAAUUAAUAUUAAUAAAGAA